GUGAUGUUGUGCCACUCUCAGUAUUUUGCUUGACGAAUGUGGAGAAGUGGGACAAAUUCAGGAAUAUAGACAUGGAUAAGGAGGCUACCAUAAUGGAUGCUCUUGAAGGCAAAACAUCGAAGCGAAAAAAUUGCGUGGA